AUCAAAAUGAUGGUGUUAUAACUUUUUUGGCUAUUAGAUCAAUCUUAAGGGCCCGGAUCAUACACAAUGUUGGACGUUGUUGGCUUUUAAUCCAAUGAUCAAAAGGGUAGAUGUAAGAUCACCGUACCUUAAGGGUGCGUUUGGUUCGAGUUAUCCUGCCAGGAUUACAAGCAAUUCUGUCAGGAUAACUGUGUUUCGUUAAUCCGUUAUGUAAUCUAGUCGUUAAUGUAGCAUUACAAAUCGAGCAGGAUUACAUCGAAAAUAUUAAUGGGAGGGGGGUCGUGUAUCUUGCAUUACUGAAACCCGUUAAUACUACAUAUUAUGUAAAAUGACAAUUUUACCCUCCAACAACCCUAAUCUAAUUAACAGCACUAUUUUCAUCUCUCUCUCUCGCCUUCCCCCUUCUCUCUCGCACACCGCUUUCUCUCGCUCUCUCUCUCUCUCGACGUCUCUCUCUCUCUCUCUCUCUCUCACGAACACGUAUCAUCUUCUAUUGCGUCGUCCUCCCAGGUAAUCAUCACGAUCUCCUUCCCUCCAUUCGUCAUUUUCACAAAAAAUAAUAUUCAAAUGACCACAACAAGGAUAAUUUUGAAAAAAACUAUACUUUUAUGUCAGGAUUACUAAAUUUUAUAGACUGAACCAAACGUAUUAAUGCUAUAAAUACUGUAAUCUAGUAUUACAUUACUGCAUUAAACCAAACGCGCUAAUAUAGCAUCAGUAGUAAUCUCACGCCGAAAUUCAAGAUACCUGGAUAUGUCGAGAUACUUUGUAAUAUUAUAUAACUCGAACCAAACGGGCCCUAAAAGCAUUUCAACUCAGUUCUUGGUUCACU
rnacentral:lncRNA from 1 species